UACGUAGGGGGCGAGCGUUAUCCGGAUUUAUUGGGCGUAAAGGGUGCGUAGGCGGCCUUACAAGUCUGAGUUGAAAGCCCACGGCUUAACCGUGGAGGGUGCUCGGAAACUGUAAGGCUUGAAUCCAGAAGAGGCAAGUAGAAUUCUAUGUGGAGCGGUGGAAUGCGUAGAGAUAUGGAGGAAUACCAGUGGCGAAGGCGGCUUGCUGGUCUGGGAUUGACGAUGAGGCACGAAAGCGUGGGGAGCAAACAGG
rnacentral:rRNA from 1 species